CCAAUCAAACUUCGUGAUAGCUGGUUCUCUCCGAAAUGCAUUUAGGUGCAGCGUCACGUGUUUCUUACUGGAGGUAGAGCUACUGGAUGGCCGAGGGGUCCUACAAGAUUACCAACGUCAGCCAAACUCCGAAUGCCAGUAAGUGAGAACGUGGCAGUGAGACAGUGGGGGAUAAGCUUCAUUGUCGAGAGGGAAACAACCCAGAACAGCAACUAAGGUCCCAAAGCCUGUGCUAAGUGGAAAAGGAUGUGAAGUCGCAUAGACAACCAGGAGGUUGGCUUAGAAGCAGCCACCCUUAAAAGAGUGCGUAAUAGCUCACUGGUCAAGUGAUUUCGCGCCGACAAUGUAACGGGGCUCAAGCACAGCACCGAAGUUCUAUCAUUCACACAUUAUCCCGGUCGCAAGAUCCAGGAGUGUGGAUGGGUAGGAGAGCGUUGUGUGGCUGGUGAAGCGGCGGAGGAAUCCAGCCGUGGAAGCCACACAAGUGAGAAUGUAGACAUGAGUAGCGAGAGAAGUGUGAGAAACAUUUCCGCCGAAAGACCAAGGGUUCCUGGGCCAGGCUAAUCCGCCCAGGGUAAGUCGGGACCUAAGGCGAGGCCGUCAGGCGUAGUCGAUGGACAACUGGUUGAUAUUCCAGUACCCGCUUUAAUUCGCCCAUAACGAAUCCACUAAUGCUAAGAGUCUGAAUCCUGUUCGGCGUAAGCCGCGUGGGUGGAUGGCUCGAACCGGUGUGGUAGUAGUUAAGCAAUGGUGUGACACAGGAAGGCAGUCCAGCCCGGGCGAUGGUUGUCCCGGGGUAAGGCUGUAGGGGGUGUUGUAGGUAAAUCCGCAACACACAUACUCUGAGAGCUGAUGCCGAGCCGUAAGGCGAAGUGGAUGAUCCUAUGCUGUCAAGAAAAGCAUCUAGCGAGAAUUAUUGCGGCCCGUACCCGAAACCGACACAGGUGGUCAGGUAGAGAAUACCAAGGCGAUCGAGAGAAUCAUGGAUAAGGAACUCGGCAAAAUGCCCCCGUAACUUCGGGAGAAGGGGGGCCCUCUGGCGUGUAGGAAUUUACUUCCGAAGCGUUAGGAGGCCGCAGAGACCAGGCUCAAGCGACUGUUUACCAAAAACACAGGUCCGUGCGAAGUAGCAAUACGAUGUAUACGGACUGACGCCUGCCCGGUGCUGGAAGGUUAAGGGGACUGGUUAGCCGCAAGGCGAAGCUGAGAACUUAAGCCCCAGUAAACGGCGGUGGUAACUAUAACCAUCCUAAGGUAGCGAAAUUCCUUGUCGGGUAAGUUCCGACCUGCACGAAUGGCGUAACGACUUGAGCGCUGUCUCAUCCGUGAACUCGGCGAAAUUGCAUUACGAGUAAAGAUGCUCGUUACGCGCAGAAAGACGGAAAGACCCCGGGACCUUUACUAUAUCUUGAUAUUGGUGUUCGGAACGGUUUGUGUAGCAUAGGUGGGAGACUUUGAAGCGGGCACGCCAGUGUUUGUGGAGUCAUCGUUGAAAUACCACUCUGAUCGUUUUGAACUUCUAACCUCGGUCCGUAAUCCGGAUCAGGGACAGUGUCUGGUGGGUAGUUUGACUGGGGCGGUCGCCUCCUAAAAAGUAACGGAGGCGCUCAAAGGUUCCCUCAACCUGGUUGGUAAUCAGGUGUCGAGUGUAAGUGCACAAGGGAGCUUAACUGUGAGACAGACAUGUCGAGCAGGUGCGAAAGCAGGAACUAGUGAUCCGGCGGUGGCUUGUGGAAGCGCCGUCGCUCAACGGAUAAAAGGUACCCCGGGGAUAACAGGCUGAUCUUGCCCAAGAGUCCAUAUCGACGGCAAGGUUUGGC
rnacentral:rRNA from 1 species